ensembl:lncRNA
CACACACACACACACACACACACACACACACACACACACACACACACACACACACACACACACUAACUUUCUUUGUCUCAAAUUCACACUCAUGCACACACAUGCAAGCACACCUAUGUACAGACACACCUUACAAUCCCAAAUCAAGGGUUUCUUCUUGUUUGUUGGUGGCAUGGCGUGAAAUAUGAUCUUUUAAAUCAGUCAACAAAUCAUGGGCUGCCUAAUCAAAUCAACCCAGCUGUAAACUAGAUUGUUUGGUGUAGGUGACCGCUAGACAUCUUAUUUCUGAGCUGUUUUCCAAUCAUGUCUGUGUUUUAGCUGCAUGUCAACAUGGAGGUAUUUGAUCCCCUACCCCUGGUAGUAUUGGCUCUUCUUUGUAACAGUGUCGUCAAUCGUAGCUCAAGUAGUUAGCAUCGUAGCCUUAUUUGGUGUUGUGGGAAUGUCGUCGCUGCCAUUUUGUUCUCCCUCCUUAUUUCUCUCACAAACCCUUCACCUUAAUAGCAUGCCUUGUGAGCACAAGAGUACAAUCAGUCAAAUGGCGAGAUCUCAGGGUUGCCCACUUUGAUUGUGACGAUCGUGCUAGGGUGAGGGCCUUCCAUUGUGAUUUUGUGCGAUUGGUGUUGAUGUCCUAAUGGUGCUGAAGGAAAUGCAUGGUAUUCUGUUUUUGUUUUUUGUUUGUUUAUGAGCUUGAAUGUAUUAAGUACUAUUGGACUUUUUUGCACUCAUUAUACAACAGAAUUAUACUUGAAUUCAAUGACGCUGACUGAUGUAUAGACUUUUUCAGGUUUGUUUGAUCGCCAGAGGAAAGGACAGUGGUGAUCCGUGCACAGGCUUUCAGGCUGAAUGGAAGGGAUCAAAUAUACUAGAAUACCUUAGGGCACAGCAAUCUAACUACCAUGUAAUAGGUGGUCAGUGACAUAUGAAAUAGAAUUAUGCUAUAGAUAAAAAAUAUUCAUGGUCGACGAUUUAUUUUAUUUCAAUCAUACUCUAAUAGUUAAUCUCUCUUUUGAGUUAAUGCAAAACUAACCGUAAAUCGAUGGAAAUGUUCACUAAUGCUGCUGAUGCAUAUUAACAACAGUAACUUUCAGUGGGGAUUUCUGUCGUCCUUUUAAGAUCUAUUUCAAAUCCAACAUACUCAACCUUGUAUCUGUACUAACAAAAACACAAUUUAGCGUCUGAAAGAAUAUCUAAGGCAUAGCAUGAAAUCGGUCCUUACGCGUUUGGCCAGGAGUGUGCUUCAGUCCACUGAGCCAAGGACUUGUGUAUAUAAACAUGAUGGGUGGGGGUCCACGUCUGCAGUAAAUGUAACACUGAUGGGUGGGGGUCCACCCCUAACGUAGGUGUAAUACUGAUGGGUGGGGGUUCACCCCUGACGUAGGUGUAAUACUGAUGGGUAGGGGUCCACCCCUGACGUAGGUGUAAUACUGAUGGGUGGGGGUCCACCCCUGAUGUAGAUGUUAUACUGAUGGGUGGGGGUCCCACCCCCUGACCUUAGGUGUGUAAUACUGAUGUGCACUUAUGUGAUCAUAAUGUCAUUUCUGUGACAUCUACACUUUGAUAAACCCUGUUGGACUCUUGUCCACCCGUCCUGCAUCCUUCUGGGAUCUUUUAUCCUUUGUUUUCGUCGUCCCCUGAUAAACUGUCUUCCAUUGAGAGAAGCCCCCCCCGCCCACCUGUUCGAAUACACUUAGGCAAUAUCCUCCAGAAAAGGACGCAAUACCUUAACAUGAAGCACUGAGUUCCUUCCUGACCCUUUGCACCCCCUACCGCAGGCUUUGUGUGUAUCAACGCAUUCAUGUAGCCACAGUGACCCCUUGUGAUCAGUGGUGUGUAAAACAUGUGGAUGUGCUGUCUUGUAACUUGUGGAAACAGAAAAAACAAGUUGAUUUGCUGCUCCGGCCUUUGACCCAAACGGCCCCCUUUACCCUCUGCUGCUAGGUGAGUUGCUUUUCAAUGAUUUUGUGUACUCAAGGGUGGAGUCGACUGUUUUGAUGCAUUUGUUCUUAAUCUAUGAAGUGAUGUACUUUUUUAAUCCUUAAUUUAUUUAUUUCCAUGUUGUCACAUUUCGGGGCCGACAGCUGCUUAUGUCUGGCUCGUAGGUAUGUGCGUUGACUACAUUUAUCCUCGCCUGGUAACCAAACUUAUUCGCGAGCUCAUGGUUGAUUUGCUCCGGCAUGUGCGAUGUGCAUUUUUGAAUUGUCAGGCUGCAUAAAUCCUGUGUGGCGCCAUUUUCUUUCAUUUAGAAAUGUGUAUUCUUUCGGCCAGUGACUCAGUAGGUAAGUCAUUGUUAUAUUUUUCAUGGCAUAGCUCACUGCCAAAGACAGAACCAGCCUUGAAGCCUGGUCCCUCGCACACCCAGUGUGUAAUUUGUGACGAAUGGCUUGAAACGGGAGGGCCUCUCUGAGGGUGUCACGGCAUACACAUCGAUUUCGAAGUCCCGCAGACUAGGGUUGUCAUGGCAAAAUGGUCGCCAUCAGUUUUUAUUUAUUUCAUGUUUCAACUAUGUGUAGUGGAUAUAUUUUAACUGUAAAUGUAUACUUCUUAUUUUAUUUGCUGGAGUGAUUUUAACCGUUUUUCUAAAGCCCACUAUGAUAGUUGGAAAUAUCUUGUCUGUUGAACUAUCAAUCAGUCAGUGAAUGCCUGCCAGAUGUGUAAAAAAAGAUAUGAAAAAAUGCAAAUUAAUAUAAGAAGACGCAAAAUUGUAAAUCAUGGUGGAGUAUUGAAGUAUGUGUGUGGAAAAAAAUGUUAAAUCUAUUAUAUGUUAUAUGCAAUGUAGCUCUAU